AGUCUCAGGCUCCGAGCUCAGCCCUACACAUCUCCUCUUGCAUGCAACUCACUGAGAGGGAGAGGCGAGCGUGUCCUACCCUCUCGCAGCCGCCAGCAUCUCGAGCCACCAAGGACCUGCUUUUCGCACCUCCAAACCCCCCUCCCUUCUUCCCUGCCACUCCCUCCCAGAGAAAGAGAGAAAGAAAAAAAAGAAAAGGAGAAAGAUUCUGGAAUUUGAAUCUUCCCAAAGAGGAAACAUACCCAGCAAACUCAGUUGAUUAAACAUCAAACAAACAAACAGCUCCCAAAUCAUCUGUUCAACUGGAAAGGUCUUCUUCUGGAGUCCUGGGAGGCAGGUUAUGGGCAGGACUGCCUCUGGCCUGCACCAUGAAGCCUGAGUCUGCUUCUGCUCUGCCCGGGGCCCUGCUCUGCCUGAGCACUCAGCUUCUGACUGCCCUUCUCCCCGCAGCCCCCAGCUGCUAGGAGGUAGAACUUCAGGACUGGUCCUUGGCCUGCUUCUACCUUUCACCUGGCUUGCCUCACCACUCACUCCUCCUCCAUCACAGCACUGCCUACCCCAGCCCUCUCCCCGGCCUACCUGGCCGGGGCAUUUGAGGGUCUGUUGGGAGGAGUGCAUUGCUGAAGCCUUCCACCCACCUCCUUGAUUUUCCUCCUUGAAUCAAGGCCUCCGGAUCCACAUGGAUAGCUGAGAUCUGUUCUUGGAGAAAGACACUUUGCUCCUCACUCCAGGCCCUCAUUUUCCCCACCUGAAUGCCUCUUCUGCUGCCCUGUCUUUUCCCUCCGCCUCUUUAGUGAAUUUCCUGCUUGUGUGCCCAUCUGGGGCUGCCUUGUUCACUUUCCUCUUUCCUCAACCUCUCGAUAUCUGUGCGUGUGCCUCCUUCCUCUUGUGUGCUCUCUGUCCCCCAGCCUGUCUCCUCUUCCUUUCUCCCUUCACUGCAAAGGGGCAUCAUCCCCUGAGGGCUGUUCCCUGGCUGUCUGGUCCUCCGGGCUUUGUGCCGGCAGCCGCGAUGAGCUUCCCCGUGCACUCGGUGUUCUUCACCCUGAAGGUGAGCGUCCUGCUGGGGUCCUUGCUGGGGCUCUGCCUGGGCCUUGAGUUCAUGGGCCUCCCCAACCAGUGGGCCCGCUACCUCCGCUGGGAUGCCAGCACACGCAGCGACCUGAGCUUCCAGUUCAAGACCAACGUCUCCACAGGGCUGCUCCUCUACCUGGAUGAUGGUGGCGUCUGUGACUUCCUCUGCCUCUCCCUGGUGGAUGGCCGCAUGCAACUCCGCCUCAGCAUGGACUGCGCCGAGACUGCCGUGCUGUCCAACAAACAGGUGAAUGACAGCAGCUGGCACUUCCUCAUGGUGAGCCGGGACCGCCUGCGUACGGUGCUGGUGCUCGACGGUGAGGGCCAGUCUGGGGAGCUGCAGUCCCAGCGGCCCUACAUGGAUGUGGUCAGUGACUUGUUCCUGGGUGGAGUCCCCGCGGACAUACGACCUUCUGCCCUGACCCUCGAGGGAGUACAGGCCAUGCCCGGCUUCAAGGGAUUAAUCUUGGAUCUCAAGUAUGGCAACUCAGAGCCUCGGCUUCUGGGGAGCCAGGGUGUCCAGUUGGAUGCUGAGGGACCCUGCGGUGAGCGUCCUUGUGAAAAUGGUGGGAUCUGCUUUCUCUUGGAUGGCCACCCCACUUGUGACUGUUCUACCACGGGCUAUGGUGGCAAGCUCUGCUCAGAAGGCCUCUCCCACCUCAUGAUGAGUGAACAAGGUAGAAGUAAAGCUCGAGAGGAGAAUGUGGCCACUUUCCGAGGCUCAGAGUACCUGUGCUACGACCUGUCUCAGAACCCAAUCCAGAGCAGCAGUGAUGAAAUCACCCUGUCCUUUAAGACCUGGCAGCGGAAUGGGCUCAUCCUCCACACGGGCAAGUCGGCUGACUAUGUCAACCUGGCUCUGAAGGAUGGCGCGGUCUCCUUGGUCAUUAACCUGGGGUCCGGGGCCUUCGAGGCCAUCGUGGAGCCAGUGAAUGGAAAAUUCAACGACAACGCCUGGCACGAUGUCAAAGUGACACGCAACCUCCGGCAGGUGACAAUAUCUGUGGAUGGCAUCCUUACCACGACAGGCUACACUCAAGAGGACUACACCAUGCUGGGCUCGGAUGACUUCUUCUACGUGGGAGGAAGCCCAAGCACUGCUGACCUGCCAGGCUCUCCCGUCAGUAACAACUUCAUGGGCUGCCUUAAAGAGGUUGUUUAUAAGAAUAAUGACAUCCGUCUGGAGCUGUCUCGCCUGGCCCGGAUCGGAGAUACCAAGAUGAAAAUCUACGGUGAAGUUGUUUUCAAGUGCGAGAACGUGGCCACGCUGGACCCCAUCAACUUUGAGACCCCAGAGGCUUACAUCAGCUUGCCCAAAUGGAACACCAAACGCAUGGGUUCCAUCUCCUUUGACUUCCGCACUACUGAGCCCAAUGGCCUGAUCCUCUUCACCCAUGGCAAGCCCCAGGAGAGGAAGGAUGCUCGGAGCCAGAAGAACACCAAGGUGGACUUCUUUGCCGUGGAACUCCUCGAUGGCAACCUGUACCUGCUGCUUGACAUGGGCUCUGGCACCAUCAAAGUGAAAGCCACUCAGAAGAAAGCCAACGAUGGAGAAUGGUACCAUGUGGACAUUCAGCGAGAUGGCAGAUCAGGUACCAUAUCAGUGAACAGCAGGCGCACGCCUUUCACUGCCAGUGGGGAGAGCGAGAUCCUGGAUCUGGAGGGGGACAUGUAUCUGGGCGGGCUGCCGGAGAACCGUGCUGGCCUCAUCCUGCCCACCGAGCUCUGGACCGCCAUGCUCAACUACGGCUAUGUGGGCUGCAUCCGCGACCUUUUCAUCGAUGGGCGCAGCAAGAACAUCCGGCAGCUGGCGGAGAUGCAGAACGCCGCGGGCGUCAAGUCUUCCUGUUCACGGAUGAGCGCUAAGCAGUGUGACAGCUACCCCUGCAAGAACAACGCCGUGUGCAAGGACGGCUGGAACCGCUUCAUCUGCGACUGUACGGGCACCGGCUACUGGGGAAGAACCUGCGAAAGGGAGGCGUCCAUCUUGAGCUAUGAUGGCAGCAUGUACAUGAAGAUCAUCAUGCCCAUGGUCAUGCACACCGAGGCAGAGGAUGUGUCCUUCCGGUUUAUGUCCCAGCGAGCUUAUGGGCUGCUGGUGGCUACUACCUCCAGGGACUCCGCCGACACCUUGCGUUUGGAGCUGGAUGGAGGACGUGUCAAGCUCAUGGUUAACUUAGGCAAAGGACCUGAGACCCUGUAUGCGGGGCAGAAGCUCAACGACAAUGAAUGGCACACCGUUCGGGUGGUGCGGAGAGGGAAAAGCCUUAAGCUAACUGUGGACGAUGAUGUGGCUGAGGGUACGAUGGUGGGAGACCAUACCCGCUUGGAAUUCCACAAUAUCGAAACCGGCAUCAUGACCGAGAAACGUUACAUCUCCGUUGUCCCCUCCAGUUUCAUCGGCCACUUGCAGAGCCUCAUGUUUAAUGGCCUGCUUUAUAUUGACUUGUGCAAAAAUGGUGACAUUGAUUACUGUGAACUAAAGGCUCGUUUUGGACUGAGGAACAUCAUCGCCGACCCCGUCACCUUCAAGACCAAGAGCAGCUACCUGAGCCUGGCUACCCUCCAGGCCUACACCUCCAUGCACCUCUUCUUCCAGUUCAAGACCACCUCAGCUGAUGGCUUCAUUCUCUUCAAUAGUGGUGAUGGCAAUGACUUCAUUGCCGUGGAGCUAGUCAAGGGGUACAUACACUAUGUGUUUGACCUCGGAAAUGGUCCCAAUGUGAUCAAAGGAAACAGUGACCGCCCCCUUAAUGACAACCAGUGGCACAAUGUCGUCAUCACCCGGGACAACAGUAACACUCACAGCCUGAAAGUGGACACGAAGGUGGUCACUCAGGUUAUCAAUGGUGCCAAAAAUCUGGAUUUGAAAGGUGACCUCUACAUGGCAGGCCUGGCCCAAGGCAUGUACAGCAACCUCCCAAAGCUUGUGGCCUCCCGGGAUGGCUUUCAGGGCUGUCUGGCAUCAGUGGACUUGAAUGGUCGCCUGCCUGACCUCAUCAAUGAUGCUCUCCAUCGGAGUGGACAGAUUGAGCGUGGCUGUGAAGGACCAAGUACCACUUGCCAGGAAGAUUCGUGUGCCAACCAGGGGGUCUGCAUGCAGCAGUGGGAAGGAUUCACCUGUGACUGUUCCAUGACCUCAUAUUCUGGAAACCAGUGCAAUGAUCCUGGCGCUACGUACAUCUUUGGGAAGAGUGGAGGCCUCAUCCUCUACACCUGGCCGGCCAAUGACAGGCCCAGCACGCGCUCGGACCGCCUUGCCGUGGGUUUCAGCACCACUGUGAAGGAUGGCAUCUUGGUUCGCAUUGACAGUGCUCCAGGCCUCGGUGAUUUCCUCCAGCUUCACAUAGAACAGGGGAAAAUUGGAGUUGUCUUCAAUAUCGGCACAGUUGACAUCUCCAUCAAAGAGGAGAGAACUCCUGUGAAUGACGGUAAAUACCACGUGGUGCGCUUCACCAGGAACGGCGGCAACGCCACACUCCAGGUGGACAACUGGCCGGUGAACGAGCACUACCCCACAGGCAACACUGAUAAUGAACGCUUCCAAAUGGUAAAACAGAAAAUCCCCUUCAAAUAUAACCGGCCCGUAGAGGAGUGGCUGCAGGAAAAAGGCCGGCAGUUAACCAUCUUCAACACCCAGGCUCAAAUAGCCAUCGGUGGAAAAGACAAAGGACGCCUCUUCCAAGGCCAGCUCUCUGGGCUCUAUUAUGAUGGUUUGAAAGUACUGAACAUGGCAGCUGAGAACAACCCCAAUAUUAAAAUCAAUGGAAGUGUCCGACUGGUGGGAGAAGUCCCAUCAAUCUUGGGAACAACACAGACAACCGCCAUGCCACCGGAAAUGUCUACAACUGUCAUGGAAACCACCACUACAAUGGCUACGACCACAACCCGCAAAAAUCGCUCAACAGCCAGCAUUCAGCCAACAUCAGAUGACCUUGUAUCAUCUGCUGAAUGUUCAAGCGAUGAUGAAGACUUUGUUGAAUGUGAGCCGAGUACAGGUAGGUUAGCCAGAAGCUCUAAUGCAGCUAGAUCACUCCGUGCCGCCCUUACAUGGACAUGGCGACUCACUUACACAUUUACUCCCAUCAUCUUCAUCUCUUGUGUAGUACACUCAUAGAUACAACCCUACCCUUUCUGCAUCUUUCCCUCCCAUUCCCCUCCUUUCUUUAGCAUUGUUCAAAUUUUGUGCUGUCAUCCAUCCCCUUAAAUUAAAGAAAGUCUAAAACUUGUCAAAAAGACAAAAAAAUAAAAAAUUAAAUAUAUAUCUGAGAACCUAUAACAAUGCAGAAAUUCAUCCAAAACCCUCUAGAGUCAUAGAUUUUUUUUUUUAAGGCAAAUUAUAAAGGUAAACAGGUUUUUUCUUUAAAUUUUUCAAAUCAUUGCAAUCGGAAUUAUUUCAAAUUCAAAAUCGAUGCCCUCCCAAGCCCCUCAAAGUAAAAAUUUGUUAAAGUGCAGAUUUUUUUUCUUUUUAUGUUAUGUGGUGUGGAUGUAUGUGUUGUUGCCUCCCUGUAUCAUCCUCUGUUGUAAAUUAUUAUAUUUGAAAAAUUAGUCAUUUUACUCAAAAGUUUUUUUUAAGAAAUGACAACAACAAAAAAAAAGCAAGUUACAAGAAUGUGGCAAUUCUGGUUGUCCAAGAGCAUUCUUACACAACUUUCUUUUGUAAAUUUUUCUUUCAUGCCAAAAAACAUGCGGGCAAUUUGUUGAUGAGGUGAAUUAGUUAUCCCUCUUCUUGUAGAAGACCCUUUAGCUACCCUUCCUAUUGCUACUCGUGCACCUUCCAUUACACUCCCCCCUACCUUCCGCCCCCUCCUCACCAUUAUUGAGACCACCAAAGAUUCCCUGUCCAUGACCUCUGAGGCGGGGUUACCUUGCUUGUCGGACCAAGGCAGCGAUGGUUGUGAUGAUGAUGGCUUGGUGAUAUCUGGGUAUGGCUCAGGGGAAACCUUUGACUCUAACCUGCCCCCUACUGAUGAUGAAGAUUUUUACACCACCUUCUCCUUGGUAACAGAUAAGAGUCUUUCCACUUCAAUCUUCGAAGGUGGCUACAAAGCACAUGCGCCCAAGUGGGAAUCCAAGGACUUUAGACCUAACAAAGUCUCCGAAACUAGUAGGACUACUACCACAUCUUUGUCCCCUGAGCUCAUCCGCUUCACAGCUUCCUCCUCGUCUGGGAUGGUGCCCAAAUUGCCAGCUGGCAAAAUGAAUAACCGUGAUCUCAAACCCCAGCCUGAUAUAGUCUUGCUUCCGUUGCCCACUGCCUAUGAGCUAGACAGCACCAAACUGAAGAGCCCACUAAUUACUUCCCCCAUGUUCCGUAAUGUGCCCACAGCAAACCCCACGGAGCCAGGAGUCAGACGGGUUCCGGGGGCCUCAGAGGUGAUCCGGGAGUCGAGCAGUACAACAGGGAUGGUCGUCGGCAUUGUGGCUGCUGCCGCCCUCUGCAUCUUGAUCCUCCUGUACGCCAUGUACAAGUACAGGAACAGGGACGAGGGGUCCUAUCAAGUGGACGAGACGCGGAACUACAUCAGCAACUCGGCCCAGAGCAACGGCACGCUUCUCAAGGAGAAGCAGCAGAGCUCGAAGAGCGGCCACAAGAAACAGAAAAACAAGGACAAAGAGUAUUAUGUGUAAAAAUGACACCGCUAACAAUAUCUGAAUUUAAAACAGAAUUAUUUAUACAUCAGUAUAUAAAUACUUGCAAAAUGGGAUUGAACAGAUGUCAGAACUGUGCUAACUAUAAGGUGGGGUAUACCAUGACUAUGGUGGGGAAAACCGUUUUUAAAAGGACGCACACAAAGCUGUACCUACCUUUACGGUUCAGCCAUGGCUGCUUUGAUUCAGUCAUCGCCCGGAGACAGAAGGUUCUUUCUGCCCUGCUGUACCAUAAAGCACAUACUUUGCGCUCUGGAGCAAGCAGAUGGCUCCCCCACUUUUGCAGACUUGGGAGCUUCCUUCUCUUGAGGACCUUUCGCCCAAGGUAGAAGACUUGAUGGCUUACUUGUUCCAUAACUCCAAGUGAGUCUGUAACAAUGUUUGUGAAGCUUGACUGUAACAAUGUUUUUUUUUGUUGUUGUUUAAUUAUGUAAAAAACAAAAACACAACAAAAAAAGAAAAGAAAAAUGUUAAAAACAAACAAACAAAAAAAAACACCCUUAUCUGGUUCUGGCCAAUGCGUGUAACUUUUCAAGAUCUGAGGGGAAAAAUGGCUUUUGGGUUUUUGUUUAUUUUUUGAGAAUGACUGGACAUAAGUUAUGAAGAAGAGGAAAAAAAAACUCAGAAAGACUAUUGCCAUAUGAACUCAAAAUCUACCAUGGUGUUCACUCUACAUAUCAGGUUGUGGUGUUUUUAGAAUCUGUUGUUUGUUUCCUAUAUGAUGCUUUGCUGAACACAUAGCAAAAUUAAGUGAUGGAUGAUAAUAUUGAUUUGAAAAGCUGGUCCCUCAAGAUCUAGUUCCAGAAUUUGCCACCCAAACCCUGAACAGAUGGGGUUAGGGCUGGUUUUAUCAGAGCUAUUGGCUUUACUUAACAAUAUUGCUCCUGUCCAUUAGCCCAGCCAAAUUGUGGUAAAGGAGAGAGCCCCACAAACUAAAACAGAGCCUUUCCUACCUAGGGAAGGGAACCGGGGGUGGGCUGGAUAUGUGACUGCUUGAAAUGCAUGCAAAUAUAGAUGAAAAGACAAUACUAAAAGUCUGUUAAUGAAUCAAAACAGACACUGGGGAGUUCAAAUUGUGAUGGAACCACAAAAGGUCACACAAGCCAAACAUGAUAUGACAAGAGUGCAAGAUACAUAGUUCUUCCCCCACCCCCAACAUGAUAAUGUUUUUCAUAGUGGUUUAAUUUUGUAGCCUGACACAGAUAACUCGAUCCAUCCAUUUGCUCAUGUCUCCCUUCACCCAUCUUUUCUAAAACUAAACAAAUGAAUAAUAAAUGAGUAAAGCUGCUGUGACACACACACAAAAGGAAUUUAAUAGUAUAAUAUAUAUAUAAAUAAAUAUAUAUACAGAUAUAUUUAUCAUGGUAUGUUUGAGGGGAUGACUGAAACAGGGAAACUGUUAAAGUCUUGAACUGGAUUGAGAAUGUUGUUUUAAAAGAAAAUAACAAAACAACAAAAAAGCAAACCUUAAAAUGUGAAGAAAGUAUGAGUUUUAGUUUUGUCACAGUUAACUGUGUCAAAGAGAAUUUAAAAAUCUUCUCAGAUUUUGUUUACAUAUUUUACUACAUUUUUGCUGGUAUAAUUCCUUAGCCACCCAUGUACAUACUGCUUUCAGAACUGUUCUUUCCUUUCUAUUCGUUUCAGUUUGUUUGGUUUAUAUUCCAGUUGUAUUUCUUUUCCUUAUUUUAAUUUUUAUGAAGAGGAAACAAUGUACAGAAAAACAAAUUGGUUGUGUGGCCAUAGCUAUCCAAAAAGCAAGAGACAAAGCAAGGCAAAUAUUCACACAAAAUGAAGUGUGUCCUCUGGAGGGUCGGAUAGAUACAAUUUCUUUUGUAUACAUGAAAAUCAAUCAGCUGUUUAGAUUUAGAAGUCUACUCUUGCUGGUCUUUGUAAGCUGCAUGAAUAUUUGACUUUGAAAAAAUAUCUUAAAGACAUGGGGCAAAAAGUGCAAUCUAAACAAUGGUAGCCUUUACUAAAAUCUAUGGAAAGAGGUGUUCCUCAUUAUCUGAUAUUUCAAUGUGUUAAGAGUUUUGGAUUCUUUUUUUUUUUUUUUUGUCAUUAAAAAGACAGGAUUAUGAAGAGAUAUCAAAGCACGAUUUUAGAUAACCUAAAUGGCCCAACCUAUAUGAAGUUGAUUAUAUCUCGAUGUCUUUAAAAGAUUGCUGUUCUUGGAGUCUUAAGGUCUUGUGAACUGAUUUUCUGCUUUCUUUCUUUCCAUUUUUUAAAAUUUGAGUAAAAAUACAUUUGUUACAUUCCUUUUAGUGUAAGUUCUAUUUGGACAAUUUUAUGGGAACAUGUGCAUUCUGUAUGUGAGCUAUCAUAUUCCUGUUGUUUUAUGAGCAGACUCUUAAGGAAUUUAUUUUAUGAUGUUGUGAUGUUACUGCUUUUUUUUUUCUUUUUCUCUUUUAUUUUAUAUUUGCAUUUUCGUUCAAGGAUAUGCUUAGCAAUAAAAUGUUCUUCCCAAAACCUUGUAUGAUGAUGCAUUUUUAUUUUCUAAACAUUUGGUGAAAGGUCUUACACUGAAGCUAAACUUUUCAUAUCUUAUCAAAAGCUACGUAAGCUAGGACCGUUUCAUGUGAAAUAAAAUGAAGGACCACUUUCUAAUCAGUUACUUAUUACUUAUAUAAACUUAUCAAAAGUGGCAUAUUUAUGAGCUAAACAAUUACUGUCUGUCAACUGAGGCAUUAUUAUUUAGAGAAACCAGGAGAGAAAACACUUUUCUGAACAGGUAAGGUGGCAGAGCAUUGUAUUUUGGAAAAGAUUAUUGAAUAUUAU